GAACCCCAUGGAGACCACCAGGAACCCAUGGAGACCACCAGGAACCCAAAACAUCUCCAGAAUCUCCAAAAAUCCCACCAGGAGCCCAUGGAGAUCAUCAGGAACCCACAGAGACCAUCAAGAACCCAAAACAUCUCCAGAAUCUCCAAAAAUGCCACCAGGAACCCAAGGAGAUCACCAGGAACCCCACGGUGACCACGAGGAACCCCAUGGAGAUCAUCAAAAACCCAAAACAUCUCCAGAAUCUCCAAAAACCCCACCAGGAACCCAUGGAGACCACCAGGAACCCAAAAUGCAUCUCCAGAAACCCCAUGGAGACCACCAGGAACCCAAAACCAACUCCAAAACCUCAUGGAGACCACCAGGAACCCAUGGAGAUCAUCAAGAACCCACAGAGACCACCAGGAACCCAAAAACAUCUCCAGAAAUCUCAAAAAUCCCACCAGGAACCCAUGGAGACCACCAAGAACCCAUGGAGAUCCAUCAGGGACCUAAAAAACAUCUCCAGAAACCCCAUGGAGACCACCAGGAACCCAUGGAGAUCAUCAGGAACCCAUGGAGAUCACCAGGAACCCCAUGGUGACCACCAGGAACCCAAAACAUCUCCAGAAAUCCCAUGGAGAUCAUCAAGAACCCAAAAAACAUCUCCAGAAACCCCAAAAAUCCCACCAGGAACCCACAGAGACCACCAGGAACCCAAAACAUCUCCAGAAACCCCAUGGAGACCACCAGGAACCCAUGGAGAUCACCAGGAACUCAAAGCAUCUCCAGAAAUCUCAAAAAUCCCACCAGGAACCCAUGGAGACCACCAGGAACCCCAUGGAGACCACCAGGAACCCACNGGGGGUCUGAGGUCCACCUUGAGGUUCUCCUGGCCUUCAUCCUAAAGUUCUCCAGAAGUUCUCCAGAAGGUUCCUCACCCCAAAAUUCCACAAAAAACCACCCAAAUCCACCCAAAACCACCAGAGGUCCACCCAGGACCUCCAUAACUCCACCCCACGGAGCUCCAGGUCCUCAAACCCCACCUUGAUGUUCUCCUGACCUUCAUCCAGAAGUUCUCCAGAAGGUUCCUCAAGCCCAAAUCCCACCCAAAACCACCCAAACUCCACCCAGGACCACCAAAGGUCCACCCAGGAGCUCCACAACUCCACCCCACGGAGCUCCAGGUCCUCAAACCCCACCCAGGUGUCCCUAGAACCCAUCUUGGUCUCCAUCCUGAUGUUCUCCAGAAGGUUCCUCAAGCCCAAAAACCCACCAAAAACCACCCAAAUCCCCCCCAGGACCACCCAAAUCCACCCAGGACCUCCCAAACUCCACCCCAUGGAGCUGCAGGUCCUCAAACCCCACCUUGAUGUUCUCCUGACCUCCAUCCUGAAGUUCUCCAGAAGGUUCCUCAUCCCAAAAUCCCACCCAAAACCACCCAAAUCCACCCAAAACCACCCAAAUCCACCCCAAAUCCACCCAGGACCACCAGAGGUCCACCCAGGACCUCCAUAACUCCACCCUAUGGAGCUGCAGGUCCUCAAACCCCACCUUGAUGUUCUCAUGACCUCCAUCCUGAAGUUCUCCAGAAGGUUCCUCACUCCAAAAUCCCUCAAAAACCAACCAAACUCCACCCAGGACCACCAGAGGUCCACCCAGGAGCUCCCAGCCCCCACCCCAUGGAGACCCCUGCCCAAUAUGGAGGUCUGAGGUCCUCAAACCCCACCUUGAUGUUCUCCUGAUCUCCAUCCUGAAGUUCUCCAGAAGGUUCCUCAAUCCCAAAUCCCACCCAAAACCACCCAAAGUCCACCCAGGACCACCAGAGGUCCACCCAGGAGCUCCCCAACCCCACCCCAUGGAGCUCCAGGUCCUCAAUCCCCAUCUUGAUGUUCUCCUGACCUCCAUCCAGAAGUUCUCC
ensembl:lncRNA